CUAUGCGCCUUGCCAGCCCGCUCAGGUGUGCCAGCGCCGCGGUAAUACGUAGGUGGCAAGCGUUGUCCGGAUUUACUGGGUGUAAAGGGCGUGUAGCCGGGCUGACAAGUCAGAUGUGAAAUCCGGGGGCUCAACCCCCGAACUGCAUUUGAAACUGUUGGUCUUGAGUAUCGGAGAGGCAGGCGGAAUUCCUAGUGUAGCGGUGAAAUGCGUAGAUAUUAGGAGGAACACCGGUGGCGAAGGCGGCCUACUGGACGGUGACUGACGCUGAGGCUCGAAAGCGUGGGGAGCAAACAGG
rnacentral:rRNA from 1 species